rnacentral:rRNA from 1 species
CGGCGGACGGGUGAGUAAUGCCUAGGAAUCUGCCUGGUAGUGGGGGACGAACGUUUCGAAAGGAACGCUAAUACCGCAUACGUCCUACGGGAGAAAGCAGGGACCUUCGGGCCUUGCGCUAUCAGAUGAGCCUAGGUCGGAUUAGCUAGUUGGUGAAGUAAUGGCUCACCAAGGCGACGAUCCGUAACUGGUCUGAGAGGAUGAUCAGUCACACUGGAACUGAGACACGGUCCAGACUCCUAGGGAGGCAGCAGCC